GAUGAACGCUGGCGGCGUGCCUAAUACAUGCAAGUCGAGCGAACAGACGAGGAGCUUGCUCCUCUGACGUUAGCGGCGGACGGGUGAGUAACACGUGGAUAACCUACCUAUAAGACUGGGAUAACUUCGGGAAACCGGAGCUAAUACCGGAUAACAUGUUGAACCGCAUGGUUCAACAGUGAAAGACGGUCUUGCUGUCACUUAUAGAUGGAUCCGCGCCGCAUUAGCUAGUUGGUAAGGUAACGGCUUACCAAGGCAACGAUGCGUAGCCGACCUGAGAGGGUGGUCGGCCACACGGGAGCGGGGACACGGUCCAGACUCCUACGGGAGGCAGCAGUAGGGAAUCUGCCGCAAUGGGCGAAAGCCUGACGGAGCAACGCCGCGUGAGUGAAGAAGGUCUUCGGAUCGUAAAACUCUGUUAUUAGGGAAGAACAAAUGUGUAAGUAACUAUGCACGUCUUGACGGUACCUAAUCAGAAAGCCACGGCUAACUACGUG
rnacentral:rRNA from 1 species